rnacentral:rRNA from 1 species
CUGGCGGCAGGCCUAACACAUGCAAGUCGGACGGAAACGACAAGAACAAUCACUUCGGUGUGCGUUUUUGGGCGUCGAGUGGCGGACGGGUGAGUAACGCGUGGGAAUCUACCCUUUAGUUGGGGACAACAUAUGGAAACGUAUGCUAAUACCGAAUAUGCUCUACGGAGUAAAGGUGCCCUCUCCUUGGAAGGUAUCGCUAAAGGAUGAGCCCGCGUUAGAUUAGCUAGUUGGUAAGGUAAAGGCUUACCAAGGCGACGAUCUAUAGCUGGUUUGAGAGGAUGAUCAGCCACACUGGGACUGAGACACGGCCCAGACUCCUACGGGAGGCAGCAGUGGGGAAUAUUGCACAAUGAGGGAAACCUUGAUGCAGCCAUGCCGCGUGUGUGAAGAAGGCCCGAGGGUUGUAAAGCACUUUCAAUUGUGAGGAAGAUUAAGUAGCUAAUACCUGCUUAGUUUGACGUUAACUUUAGAAGAAGCACCGGCUAACUCUGUGCCAGCAGCCGCGGUAAUACAGAGGGUGCAAGCGUUAUUCGGAAUUACUGGGCGUAAAGCGCGCGUAGGCGGACUGUUAAGUCGGUUGUGAAAGCCCUGGGCUCAACCUAGGAACUGCAUCCGAUACUGGCAAUCUAGAGUUUAAGAGAGGGAAGUGGAAUUCCAGGUGUAGCAGUGAAAUGCGUAGAUAUCUGGAGGAACAUCAGUGGCGAAGGCGACUUCCUGGCUUAAAACUGACGCUGAGGUGCGAAAGCUUGGGUAGCGAACGGGAUUAGAUACCCCGGUAGUCCAAGCCGUAAACGAUGUCAACUAGCUGUUGGCCUUAUUAAAAA